CCUCAAAUCAGGUAGGA
rnacentral:rRNA from 1 species